rnacentral:rRNA from 1 species
CGCGAGCUGGGUUCAGAACGUCGUGAGACAGUUCGGUCCCUAUCCGUCGCGGGCGCAGGAAAUUUGAGAGGAGCUGUCCUUAGUACGAGAGGACCGGGAUGGACACACCGCUGGUGUACCAGUUGUUCCGCCAGGAGCAUCGCUGGGUAGCUAUGUGUGGCAGGGAUAAACGCUGAAAGCAUCUAAGCGUGAAGCCCCCCUCAAGAUGAGAUUUCCCAUUUCUUCGGAAAGUAAGAUCCCUGAAAGAUGAUCAGGUAGAUAGGUUUGGAGUGGAAGUGUAGCGAUACAUGGAGCGGACAAAUACUAAUCGAUCGAGGACUUAACCAAAA